rnacentral:rRNA from 1 species
UACGUAGGGUGCAAGCGUUAAUCGGAAUUACUGGGCGUAAAGCGUGCGCAGGCGGUGAUGUAAGACAGGUGUGAAAUCCCCGGGCUUAACCUGGGAACUGCGUUUCUAACUGGCAGGCUUGAGUGUGGCAGAGGGGGGUGGAAUUCCGACGUGCAGCAGUGAAAUGCGUAGAGAUGUGGAGGAACACCGAUGGCGAAGGCAGCCCCCUGGGCUAACACUGACGCUCAUGCACGAAAGCGUGGGGAGCAAACAGG